CGUUGGAGGUGUAAAGGGUGAAGAAGAGACAAGUCCAAGCUACAUCCCAACGAUAUUCCCUUCAAUUUAUAAUAAACCUACAAUUAAUGAAGAAACUUCUUCUAACAGGCAUGCACGUUUCUUAAAGCGAAGAUUUGCUAAAAAUAAUAUAGCAGACUCAGGCGUGGUCACAAACACU
rnacentral:lncRNA from 1 species